UGCUCUCCAGGGCCAACACUCCUCACUCCGCCCACUUUGGAGGGGCCCCAGUCUGCAAAGCGUCACGGCGUCCGAGAGCAGGUUUCGCAUUUGCACCCCGCUCUUGCCCAGCCACUGGGAGCCUCCCGCCUCUGGGUUUCCCCACUUUGGGCAAGCCCCGGCCUUCUGCUCCCCGGAAGGAGAGCGCAGUUCCCUGGAGAGACCUCGAGUGGAUUUAGAUCCUUGCUUUUAAGAUCGCCGUUUCUCAAAAUUUACUAAGGGUCUUCGUUGGUGAUUCAGAAUUCUGCACGAAAUAAAAUGGGCAUCUCCUUCGCCCGUAUUUCCUGCGCUGUUGGC
rnacentral:lncRNA from 1 species